rnacentral:tRNA from 1 species
GUCCGAUCUGCAGGAUUCUGGUAUGGCGGAACGUAUCGACGACGUUGCAGACGGCAAGGAAAUCUUUGAUGCCGCGUUCAAAUUCCGGAUCGGUCA